AUUGAACGCUGGCGGCAGGCCUAACACAUGCAAGUCGAACGGUAACAGGAAGAAUCUUUCUUCUUUGCUGGCGAGUGGCGGACGGGUGAGUAAUGUCUGGGAAACUGCCGGAUGUAGGGGGAUAACUACUGGAAACGGUAACUACUACCGCAUAACUUCUCAAGACCAAAGAGGGGGACCUUCGGGCCUCUUGCCGUCGGAUGUGCCCGGAUGGGAUUAGCUAGUAGGUGGGGUUACGUCUCACCUAGGCGACGAUCUCUAGCUGAUCUGAGAGUAUGAUCGGCCACACGGGAACUGAGACACGGUCCAGACUCCUACGGGAGGCAGCAGUGGGGAAUAUUGCACAAUGGGCGCAAGCCUGAUGCAGCGAUGGCGAGUGUAUGAAGAAGGCGUUCGGGUUGUAAAGUACGUUCAGCGGGGAGGAAGGGAGUACAGUUAAUACCUAUGCUCAUUGACGGUACCCGCAGAAGAAGCACCGGCUAACUACGUG
rnacentral:rRNA from 1 species